UGGGGGCCUGGACGGCCUGGGGAAUGGGGUUGCAGAGAAGGGUUUGCCUGGAGGAGUGAGUGCAAGGAUGGGGCUCGGGUGGGUGCCCCCCAGGAGUUAGAGUCAGGCAGUGGCAGGUGGGGUCAGAGGCAGGCUCAGAUCCAGCCCAGGGGGUCAGAUCGCAGCUGUGGGUCUGUGACCUCGGGCAGCCUCCUGGGCUUCCCAGCUGGGCUCCUUCAGAAUCCUUGUCCUCCUGGUGGUGAUGCGUGGGCUUCCUUCUUCACUGGGGUCCCCUGUGACUCACCACCUCACUCCUGUCUCCAGCUGCUGUAAAAGGAAUGAGUUUACCGGAGUCCUACCUUCCCUGCUCUAAAAGUGGAUUUUAAAAUCAACUGGAGAAGCACAGAAGGUUUACAAAGCCCUUGACUUCGCGCCCCAUAAUGAUGCCGGUAACCGCGAGCUGUCAGGACUGAAACAGGAAAGACGAAAGAUUUUAUUUAUUCAGGAGAGACGGAGAGGCAGAGACACAGGCAGAGGGCAAAGCAGGCUCCCUGCGGGCAAUCUGACGUGGGACUUAACCCCAGGACUCUGGGAUCACGCCUUGAGCCAAAGGCAGACGCUCAACCGCUGAGCCCCCCAGGUGUCCCCGUUUUGGUAUAUCUCUAACCAAGUGAUGGUGACCAGGUUGGCUUGGGUUCUUGGGAAGUCCCUUGGAAGCUGGAUGGAGCAGGGAACAGAAGAGGGACCCUGCAGGAGCAGGGAUAGUGGAUGAGGUUUUAUUGCUGGGGAGAGCCAGCAAGAGAAGACACAGGAAGGAGGGGAGAGGGGCAGAUCCAGGUGCUCAGGACACCUGAGCGGACUUCAGUGCAGUGGGUGGACAAGGCAGAUACGGCAGGUGCUAUGGGCUGUGACCCUGUUCGUUGCCAUGUUCCUGGAGCUUGCACACGCCUGACACAUUGUAGGCUCCGAGGAAAUGUCUGCUGAUUGAAUCCCCUGCGCCAUAUGACACCACCUGGGACCCCAUGCUCCUUGGAUGGGGCGACCCUGGUUGGAGGAAACAUCUGCUCUACCCAUAGCCUUACAGGAGGUGCUGCGCUGGAGGCUGGGGCGUGACGUAACAGGACACACACCCGCCGCUGCUCGCUGCUCUCUCGGGGCUCCUGAGGUACUUGGAACCUCCCAAGUCCCAUGGAGGCCUCCCAUGUCUCCUUUCUAAAGGAAGCCUUCCCAGCUCCCCAAGGCUGCCUCUACUUCCCUCAUCGUUCUUCAUCAGAACCUUGAGCCACCUUUUAUUUCAGCGCUUAGAUUCUUCCUUGGUGGUCUGCGGACAUGAGGAGGGCAGGGACAGGCCAUGCCUCGCUCACCUCACUCACCUUUCUAUCUCCGGGGAUUGGGAGAUACCUCUGCUUCAUCAUACUGGGAACGUACGGCUGAACUUGGGGAGCUGAGUCCAGGCCCCAACACUGUCCCCAGUGGCUUUUGUCCAGAGACAGAGGACUCACUCCCUGGGACCAGCCAGAGGGGUUUCUAAACAGUCCCAGUCCCUAGUCAGUGUUCUCAGACACCGGGCUGAAUUUCGUUCCCCCACUUCUCCUCGUCAUCACCCCCCCACUCCUGCAAAGGAGCCACCUUUUGGGAAUCAUCAGAACCAGUGUUGCUGACCCUCAGUCCUAUGAGCUCAUGACCUCCCAGACCACCGUCCACGUGCUUUUCCUCCCCUCUGGCCGUGUGCUCUCAGAGCAGCUGCUUGUCACUUUAGAAUCCGGGUUCCGGGGAUCCCUGGGUGGCGCAGCGGUUUGGCACCUGCCUUUGGCCCAGGGCGCGAUCCUGGAGACCCGGGAUCGAGUCCCACGUCGGGCUCCCGGUGCAUGGAGCCUGCUUCUCCUUCUGCCUGUG